ACAUGCAAGUCGAACGAUGAACCACCUUCGGGUGGGGAUUAGUGGCGAACGGGUGAGUAACACGUGGGCAAUCUGCCCUGCACUCUGGGACAAGCCCUGGAAACGGGGUCUAAUACCGGAUACUGACCUUCACGGGCAUCCGUGAGGGUCGAAAGCUCCGGCGGUGCAGGAUGAGCCCGCGGCCUAUCAGCUUGUUGGUGAGGUAACGGCUCACCAAGGCGACGACGGGUAGCCGGCCUGAGAGGGCGACCGGCCACACUGGGACUGAGACACGGCCCAGACUCCUACGGGAGGCAGCAGUGGGGAAUAUUGCACAAUGGGCGAAAGCCUGAUGCAGCGACGCCGCGUGAGGGAUGACGGCCUUCGGGUUGUAAACCUCUUUCAGCAGGGAAGAAGCGAAAGUGACGGUACCUGCAGAAGAAGCGCCGGCUAACUACGUGCCAGCAGCCGCGGUAAUACGUAGGGCGCGAGCGUUGUCCGGAAUUAUUGGGCGUAAAGAGCUCGUAGGCGGCUUGUCGCGUCGGUUGUGAAAGCCCGGGGCUUAACCCCGGGUCUGCAGUCGAUACGGGCAGGCUAGAGUUCGGUAGGGGAGAUCGGAAUUCCUGGUGUAGCGGUGAAAUGCGCAGAUAUCAGGAGGAACACCGGUGGCGAAGGCGGAUCUCUGGGCCGAUACUGACGCUGAGGAGCGAAAGCGUGGGGAGCGAACAGGAUUAGAUACCCUGGUAGUCCACGCCGUAAACGGUGGGCACUAGGUGUGGGCGACAUUCCACGUCGUCCGUGCCGCAGCUAACGCAUUAAGUGCCCCGCCUGGGG
rnacentral:rRNA from 1 species